GGGCCCGCACAAGCGGUGGAGCAUGUGGUUUAAUUCGAUGAUACGCGAGGAACCUUACCAGGGCUUAAAUGCAGUUGGACAGGUCUGGAAACAGACCCUUCUUCGGACUAAUUGCAAGGUGCUGCAUGGUUGUCGUCAGCUCGUGCCGUGAGGUGUCAGGUUAAGUCCUAUAACGAGCGCAACCCCUGUGGUUAGUUGCCAGCGAGUCAUGUCGGGAACUCUAGCAAGACUGCCGGUGCAAACCGUGAGGAAGGUGGGGAUGACGUCAAAUCAUCACGGCCCUUACGUCCUGGGCCACACACGUGCUACAAUGGUAGGUACAGAGAGCAGCCACGUCGCAAGGCGGAGCGAAUCUGUAAAGCCUGUCACAGUUCGGAUCGGAGUCUGCAACUCGACUCCAUGAAGUCGGAAUCGCUAGUAAUCG
rnacentral:rRNA from 1 species